CUGGCGAAGAGUGACUUACCCGAGCAGUGUAUCCACAUCUGUUUGAUGAGACGGGAGAUUCAAGCGUCACACUUUGUUGCAUUCAAAACGGACGGAAGGUUUUAACGAAGACAAACAGUAACUCUCCGCCGACCGCGGAGCGCGGCCAAUGGGCUCGAGCUGUGCGCGCUGCUUCGACCAAUCAAAUCGUCAGCGCGGAGUUGGUGGAAGGUGAGCGGUGAAGUAGGAAGGGCUGAUGGCGACAUCAUGUGUUAAGGGUUUGUAUCCCUCCGCUUGUCAUGUUUUGAGAGCAACGACUUUAUCUGCUUUUUUAAUAUUAACCGACUGCAAAUCAGAGCUUACAGCUGGCACGGUCGUUUCAUUAUUGUAAGCUACGUUAUAGCCUGCUCCAAGCAAUAAAAACAUUUUGUACAGUUUAAAAAAAAACAAUUAUUUAAUCAAUUAUGGAAAUUUAAAUACAAAAAUUAUAAACAACUCAAUGUCAUCAUGUAGACCCCUAGAGAAGAUAUUUAAGUUGUACAUUUACCCAGCAGAGCAGAUAAUAGCGGCCAAAUUCUGUUAUUUUUCAAAACAUAACAUCAUUCUUCGCUCAGUUUAGGUCGAUAGAUGUUUCAUGUUGUAAAUGCGUGAUUCAAAAUGUGACGCUUUACUUUCCCUCGGUGCUACAUGAGCGAUGCUGUGCGAGCCCCGCCGCCCUACUUUAUCUGUUCACGGCGGAGGAACACUAUGUUUACAGUGAGCGGAAUGGUGACGUACAGUGUCGGAUACAGUCAGUGUGGCGCAUGAGGCAGAGCAGCUACACAUGCACAGACAUUUACUUUAGAGGACGUACAGAUUCUAUUUUAUACCUUUUCACUAUUUCCAGUUUCUUCUGUAUGUGCGUUAGGCUACGUCAUGUUACGUCAGUGUGAAGGAAACAGCUUGGCUGGGAGACUGAAAGUAAUCCACGGCUCGUGCAUGAGAUGAUUUUAUUUUGGCUCAAAAUUGAAAGUAGUGGAGGAGAAGCCAGAGAGUCCAACACAUGCAGAGUUGGUUCAGUAUUUAUUUGAACACCUCUCAUACAAGAAAUGCAUCCAAAGGGCUGUACCUUAAACAAAUAAAUAAAACAAUUACAUGUGAAGACAAAAUGGAGAUAAAGAUUAGUAAGAUGUGUAAAAGGCAUAAUAAGAAGUAAGUAGGCAACUAUAUUUUCAGAUAUAUACAAAAAAAAAGGUAUGUACAAUUUACUGACUCAGCAAAUACCUAAUAAUUAUCGCUAUUUAUCUUUAAAGUAGGGCUGCUUAAAUGCUUCAUCUUGCUCUGAUGAUCAAUAAAGUAAUUGCUGAAAUGAAAAACUAAGAUAAAAUAUUGAGAUAUUGCUCUCGUUUACAGUACAGUGUUGUUGAUUAUGCAACUUCCCAAUUCACACACGUUGCGUUAAACAGUUUCGACUGCAUGGCCAAUGAAUACACAGUCCAACCUGCAGUGGUGGAAGCAGUAGGCUACUUAGCAAUGCAACAAUUUAAAAGUACUCCAUGACAAGUCUUGGCCCUGCAUUCAGACUCCGUACAGAAGUACUUUCAUUAAAAUGUACUUUAGGUACCAAAAGUAGAAGUUGUCCCCUGUGAUUGAUAUAUUAUUAUAUAUGACAUUAUUAAUACUGAUGCAAUCAUGUGUAAGCAACAUUUUACUGUUGCAGCUGCUCGAGGUGGAGCUAGUUUUAGUCCUGUGGUUCCCAAACUGGGGUUCCCCCCCCCCCAUUUUUUUUACACUUCCCUAACGUUUGUGUUUUUUGUUGUGAAAUAUUGGACAGUUUGAAGAGUCAUUUUAAUGACACCGCAUGAGAAGUUCAGAAGAGAAAUGUCACUUUGGUGGAAAUGCUAACAACUCAUAGACAUCUGAAAACUGAAAUCUGACAAGAACACUGCUUUUUUUUGGAAGGGGCCACAAUCCAAAAAUGCUGGGAUUUAAUCUUUGACAAUGUGUUGUAUUUUAUAUGGUUAUCAUGCAGUAUGUUUUUGUAUGUACACAUCUUAAUAUGCAAAGUAACCAGUAACUCCAGCAGUCAGAUUAAUAAUAACUAAAUAAAUAUUUCCCUCUGAAAUGUAGUGGAGUAGAAGUACAAAGUAGCAGAAAAAGAAAUACUUUAAAGUACAGUACUGGAGUAAAAGUACUUAGUUACUUUCCACCACUGCUAACUUGUAAGCUUGUACUCGGCUGCACACAUUUGCAAUGCUGGAUCCAUGACAGUAUUCUUGUCUAACACAUACAUUAUGUGCAGAAUUUGACCUCAGGUCAAAGCCUAAAAGGGAACUGAAAGAUGACACUAGUUGCAUCAGGGAGAUGAUGUAUUAAAAAGUAACACAGCAAACUAGAACACAUGGUACUUGAGAUAGAGAACCACUUCCACCCCCAAAGUUGAAUCUAAUAAAGGAUUUAAAGUCAGGUCAAGAGUCCCUAUAAAAUAUAAAAAAAAAAGACUUUGGUAGGACAACAAAAAUCAGACCACAAUACUGGAAACGGACAAACAAGGUAUAUGAAGAGUUCAAAUAUUCAGCAGACGCAUGCCUGAGUGUGAUGUGUUCACGGAGGGAACGUGCCACGCGGUCUGGACUGCCCUGUCACUUUCAGAAGGAAUAUAACAAAUGGAAACAGCAGCACACAGCAGGGAACGCACAGCUGACUCAAGGAAUGACACUCAUGCAGUUUACAGCUGGAAUAUGCAACGUUUCUGACAUCACAAGGAAAACCCUUUGACUGCCUGAAAUCAGAUUUUUAAAAUGUUUUAUGAUGUUUUGGGUGUACUGAUAAUUGUGGGCGUAGCCUUCAAGGCGAGGCAGGGGGCUUUAGCUCAGUCUCAGGACACAAGUGACACCUUAUCAGUAUGAUUGAUAAUAUCUGAACCUGACUGCUGAGGGAGAAAAGGGCAGGGAAAACAUUAUAUUUCCUGCUGUAACGGGGAAAAGCUAAAUGUUGUGACACUGGAAGUCUCACUGAUUUGUUAAUGAAGUAGAUGAAGAACGAGGGAGAACCGAGAGUAAUGAAGUAAGUAGUAGUAGUAGUAGUAGUAGGCUAGUAGUAGUGUUGACAUCAGCUCAGACACAGACACAGAGACAGGGAGUGACACAGAGAGAUUACACAGUGUUUUCUGCUUUACAUAAGAAGCUUAUGUGAUGUGCGAGAGAAUUGCAGCAGUCAGAUGGACGUCCCGCUGUCUUCCUCUCAUGCCGUCCUGUCCGUACAGCUGGGUAGUGCAGUGGUCAGCCACUUGGCCCCCGGGGUCAGGGAAAUUCCACGGGAAAAAUGACAACAAACAUCCAGGUCAGAGUUGGGAGCAAAAGAAAAACAGGAAACAGAGGCCCCGUCCAUGGCAGGACUAGCACCGUACUCAGAGCUACUGAUCCGGCUGCUGGUCAAGUUAUUGCUUCAUAGAGCACAGAUCCCACUGCAAUGACACAAAUAGUUUCUUUUUUGUUUGAAACAAUGUCAGCCCAGGACUUUUCAUUCAGCCCAAUCAAUAACUACAGUUUGGCGCCCCCUGUUGAAGCAUUGCUGAAACAUUUAGCUUUAUGAACAGCAGUUCAUUGAGUACAAGACAUUGUUUUCAUGUCAUAAUCAAUUUUCCAAGAUUAAGAGCCGCUUCGUUGUGCUGCUGAGAAAAUGUUCUAAUGGUGUGUUCUUUCAUAUAUGCCACUGAUUUCCAUAUGAGGUCAAACAAAGAGCCUGAGGGCUGAAUAUGUUUGCAAUAAAAAACCGUUUGGAGCAGUUUUAGAGUGCUGCUUCAGUGUUACCUAUCAUGUUAUCUUCAUUUAGUCUACUUUUGGUCUGGGACUGUCUUUAUUUCCAGUGAGGGGAAAUCUUACUGCCCCAGCAUGCACUAAUAUUUUAGACAACAGUGUUCUUCCAACUUUGUGUCAACAGUUUGUGUUUGUCCCUUUCCUGUUCCAACAUGAGCCCUGAUCUCAGCCCCAUCCAACACCUUUGGGAUGAACUGGGACGCCAACUGCGAGCCAGACCUUUUCACCAACAUCAGUGUUGGACCUCACUGACGAUCUUGUGGCUGAAUGGGAGCAAAUCCCUGCAGAGAGGUUACAAAAUCUGCUGGAAAGAGUGAACCCAGAAGAGUGGAGGCUGUUAGAGCAACACAUUAAUGCCCAUGGUGUCGGAAUCACAUGUUCAGCUGUCAAAUAUGACGUAAUGUUCGGGAUGGUGUCCACAUGCUUUUGGCCAAGUACUGUAUCAAAUAUUCUUAAUUGUGAUAGAAAAAUUGAGCAUCUUGAAAUUCUGAUAAUACGUUUUCUCUUACUAAACACAAUAUUUCAGUGUCUCUAAAAUAUCCACAUGGUAUUUUCUACAUGGUACUUUUAUUACUUGAGCUCAUGUUUGUGCCUUCUGCAGCUCUGGGAUGAACAACAGGCUCAGCUGGUCAUAUGUAGUUCACAGAUAUAAACAGGAACUCAGUAACCCCACUAUUGUCCUUCAGCCUGAAUGUUCAGCUCACAGUGCUCUGGAAGAUUGCUAAUGGCUUCGUGAGGGCGUGAGGUCACGACGGCUGGAGACUGCAAAAAUGACCCGUUGUUAUGCAAUCAAGUGGAGAUGCAUUUUGAAUGAAAUGCUGAUGUGAAGAAUACUGGGAGCCGCUCCAUGUUUGUGCAGUAACUCCGAAUGUUCAACCUUAGAGUUUACAGGCUGCAUGACAUCUUGACAGAACGAUAAAUAAUCUUCUAAGCA